ACGCUGGCGGCGUGCCUAAUACAUGCAAGUCGAGCGAACAGACGAGGAGCUUGCUCCUCUGAUGUUAGCGGCGGACGGGUGAGUAACACGUGGAUAACCUACCUAUAAGACUGGGAUAACUUCGGGAAACCGGAGCUAAUACCGGAUAACAUGUUGAACCGCAUGGUUCAACAGUGAAAGACGGUCUUGCUGUCACUUAUAGAUGGAUCCGCGCCGCAUUAGCUAGUUGGUAAGGUAACGGCUUACCAAGGCAACGAUGCGUAGCCGACCUGAGAGGGUGAUCGGCCACACUGGAACUGAGACACGGUCCAGACUCCUACGGGAGGCAGCAGUAGGGAAUCUUCCGCAAUGGGCGAAAGCCUGACGGAGCAACGCCGCGUGAGUGAAGAAGGUCUUCGGAUCGUAAAACUCUGUUAUUAGGGAAGAACAAAUGUGUAAGUAACUAUGCACGUCUUGACGGUACCUAAUCAGAAAGCCACGGCUAACUACGUGCCAGCAGCCGCGGUAAUACGUAGGUGGCAAGCGUUAUCCGGAAUUAUUGGGCGUAAAGCGCGCGUAGGCGGUUUUUUAAGUCUGAUGUGAAAGCCCACGGCUCAACCGUGGAGGGUCAUUGGAAACUGGAAAACUUGAGUGCAGAAGAGGAAAGUGGAAUUCCAUGUGUAGCGGUGAAAUGCGCAGAGAUAUGGAGGAACACCAGUGGCGAAGGCGACUUUCUGGUCUGUAACUGACGCUGAUGUGCGAAAGCGUGGGGAUCAAACAGGAUUAGAUACCCUGGUAGUCCACGCCGUAAACGAUGAGUGCUAAGUGUUAGGGGGUUUCCGCCCCUUAGUGCUGCAGCUAACG
rnacentral:rRNA from 1 species